rnacentral:lncRNA from 1 species
GGAGUAAACCGCUCGCUGUAGGAGUUCGGCUCUCACAGGAGCACGGUUAGAAUCUUGAAGGCGAUCGACCGUCGUAGAAACUCGGAUGGAGUCCGAUCUCUGUAGAAACCUCAUUAUCGAAGAAGCUCGGAUAUUGACGGAGUCCAAAAGGAGUUUGGAGAAUAGUUGGUCACUGUAGAAGGUCGGCUGACAGUGAGGCCU